GUUUAGAAGAUGUAAGAAUCUCACACUAGAGUGGAUUCUUAGAUUGAAAACCUGUCUUGGCAACUAAGGGAAUUCUUCAAAAGUUUGGGUAUGAAUUCGAGUCAGGGACGAAAUAAUUGAGUGGAAAGGAACAACCAAACCAUUCACCCACGCCGCACAGAAGAGACAACUGAGGGACGUCAAGGGGGCACUUUAGUGCCUAGGUACACAAAAUUAGAUUUUCCCUCU
rnacentral:misc_RNA from 1 species